UGCGUGUGUAGGCAAAGGUAAUAUCUUUGGUAAGCCUUUUGCUAGGUGGACUGUGAAGUCAUUAUUAGGUAAGGUAUACUACCCUCCUUUCUAAGUAGCCUAGUCCUACAGACAGAUUAUAUUGGUUAUCUGUCGUACUAGUCUACUCUUAAAGGAGGGUAGUUUACCUAACCUAGUAAUGACUUCAUUGUUCAGCUAGCAAGCAAGCUCACAAAAG
rnacentral:lncRNA from 1 species